rnacentral:rRNA from 1 species
GACGAACGCUGGCGGCGUGCUUAACACAUGCAAGUCGAACGGAAAGGCCCUGCUUUUGUGGGGUUCUCGAGUGGCGAACUGGUGUGUAACACGUGAGUAACCUGCCCUUGACUUUGGUAUAACUUCAGGAAACUUGUGCUAAUACCGGAUAGGAGCUCCUGCUGCAUGGUGUGGGUUGGAAAUUUUCGGCGGUUGGGGAUGGACUCGCUGCUUAUCAGCUUUUUGGUGGGGUAUUGGCUUACCAAGGCUUUGACGGGUAGCCGGCCUGAGAGGGUGACCGGGGACAAUGGGACUGAGAGACGGAACAGAGUCCUACGGGAGGCAGAAGUGGGGAAUAUUGAAAAAUGGGAGGAAGCCUGAUGCAGAAACGCCGCGGGCGGGAUGACGGCCUUCGGGUUGUAAAACGCUUUCGCAUGUGACGAAGAGGGAGUGACGGUAAUGGGUAAAGAAGCACCGGCUAACUACGUG